rnacentral:lncRNA from 1 species
AGUGGCCUGGGACUGAUGUCUUCUUACUUACCAACAGUGUCAGGGCAACAUCAGUGGAAUGAGAACCCUGCUGAGCACAUGGGGCAGCUGUUUCCGUGGGACCUGCUGUCCUGACCUGGGAGUGCCAUGCUGGGGACAUGCUGAGGACCACAGGAGGUGCAGGAGUGGCCUCCAGGGGCACAGCCCACCUCCACUGACCCCCUGGCUCCCUGAGGCAGAGACACGGGUGCAGAGCUGGCCUAUCACAUGCUCUUUCCUGGUACCCUGAGUUUUUGGGUGAAUGAAGAAAAGGAGGGAGGAGAGAGAGGGUGGUGACUCCUCCAGGGGACAUGCCCCAGGAUCUGAGCUUAGGGUGGAGCUGCUACGCCCUGGCCACCAUGGCUUCUGGUUUUCCAACCUGGUCUCCCCACCCUGUGAAGAGCCCACU